CGGUGACUCAGGAUCGGGCCCUUUGGGGAUCCAGCGGUGACUCAGGAUCAGGCCCCUCCGGGAUCCACUCGAUCCUUGGGAUCCUGUGGGUGCAGGAUCGGGUCCCUCCGGGAUCCAGUUGAUCUUCAGGAUCCUGUGGGUGCAGGAUCGGGCCCCUCCAGGUGUCCCCAAUGUCCCCAAGGGGUGGGGGUGGCCCCCAUGUCCUCAAUGUCCCCAAAACCAUCGAGGUGGCCCCCAGAUCUCAAUGUCCCCCACGUCCUCGAUGUCCCCAACGUCCCCAAAACCAUCGAGGUGGCCCCCAGAUCUCAAUGUCCCCCACGUCCUCGAUGUCCCCAACGUCCUCAAUGUCCCCAACGUCCCCAAAAACAUCAGGGUGGCCCCCAGAUCUCACUGUCCCCAAUGUCCCCAAGGGGUGGGGGUGGCCCCCAUGUCCUUGAUGUCCCCAAGGUAUCGGGGUGGCCCCCAGAUCUCGCUGUCCCCCAUGUCCUCAAUGUCCCCAAAACAUCGAAGUGGCCCCCAGAUCCCGCUGUCCCCAGUGUCCCCAAGGCUUCAGGGUGGCCCCCA
rnacentral:lncRNA from 1 species